GAUUAAAUGGCUGAAGUUUAGGCGGUAGAUUGUAAAUCUAUUAAUGAAGAUUAUCUUCUUUAAUCA
rnacentral:tRNA from 1 species